rnacentral:rRNA from 1 species
AUGAAAACUCUUACAGUAGAAGUUCCGGAAAGCAUAGAGGCACAUUCUUUUUUUGAGGGAAGGAUAGAAGCACAUUCUAAACCAAUGCACGAUCAUCUUUCCCAACGCUUCAAAGAUACAGACGCACAAAGUAUCAGAUUUUCAACACGUAUUCCCUGUGCGCGGCGUGCCACCGUCGUCUCCAAUUUCAAGAUAUUUUGCCAAUUUGUCGAAAGCCAGGUCUACACAGUGAACAAAACACCAAGGACAAACAGAAAAACUAGCUUCAUCUGUCUGCCGCUACAUCACAGGUACAAACUCAGAUCUAAAGAGAACAAGUAG